GUGAGGAAGGUUCUGGGUUUGAAUCCUUUCACUUGUAUUUUUGUCAAUUUUUUCUAAAUCCCUAAUUUUUGGUAUUUGGUUUAAAAAAUAUUUGAGUGCAUCUAUUGAUAAGAAUGAACUUGCUAGUUCGAUGGUAAGGUGAUUGUUAGCUUACACUUUGGUCUUGAAUUUGAAUCCCUGUGUGUGCAAGUGAAAAUUGUUUUUGUUUUGAAUUAUGAAGGAAUCUGGUGAGUGGUUAUUUGUGGGACUUAGUCAGAUGUGGGUGGUAAAUUAUGGAACUUAGUGGGAUGUGGGUGGUUAAUUAUGGGACUUAGUGGGAUGUGAGUGGUUAAGAAAUUAUCCCAAAUUGUCUCUCUCACUCCUACGUUAUUUUCUUCCCCUCUUCUCUAUUUUUCUUCUUCUUUUUUAAUUUUUUUUGCUUUUCUCCAUUUCCAUUGGUUUUGCUUGUUGUCGUUUCAAUUUUGCUUUUGUGUAUGUGUAUAAGAUUCGCUCUUCGAUCGUAGUUCAAAGCAUGGUGUAAGUUUGUCAAGCUAUUUUUUCUGUUAUUUUAGUUUUAAUUUGUUAUUGAAUAAGAUUUGAGGUGUUGGUGUUUAGUUUUCAUUCCACGUUAUGUUAAGUAUGUUCGUGAUUUUGAUUAGGAGAAAGGUACGAAAACCAAAACCCUCUAGCAAAAUAGAUACGGUUUCGACAUGUUUCGGAAAAGAUUCGGAGUGUGAUUUUGCACGGUUUAUCAAAAUUAUCAUCAGCUCACCUGCAUCAAUAUAAGUCGCAUACCACUAUGACCCGAUGUGAUUGGAUGGAUGGACUCUUGUAGUCUUAUUUGGUGUGAUUGGUUGGGCGGAGUUAGUGUGUAGCGGAUGGAGGUGUACUUCUGACUUAGGUCUUGGCGGCGACUUCGGAGCUCGGUUCACACAAUUUGGUUUAAGUUGAUUAGGUUUUUUUUUUUAAAUUUUGGACUUUACGGUCUUUCAAAUUUUAAUUUGUUUUGGAG